rnacentral:snRNA from 1 species
CCUGGCAGGGGAGAUACCAUGAUCACGAAGGUGGUUUUCCCAGGGCGAGGCUUAUCCAUUGCACUCCGGAUGUGCUGACCCCUGCGAUUUCCCCAAAUGUGGGAAACUCGACUGCAUAAUUUGUGGUAGUGGGGGACUGCGUUCGCGCUCUCCCCUG